CGGAUGGAUUGAAGCUGUAUUAAUGUUGGAUUGAGAUAGCAGAAUCGGGGUCAGUAAGGAGGAAAUCAAUAAGGUUCAUUUUCCUCGGAUUUUUAAAUAGAUGUAAUACGCAAAAAGGUCCUGUCAGGACAAACAAAUAACACGCGGGAAUCAACUAGGCACCUCGUGCUAAGGAAACUCUCUUAAGCAGGUGCUAUUUAAUUUCUGCGUGUCACUUCUACGAGUUAUCAAGUCUUCGUGUUGCCACAAGUUGCGCUACAAACUUGGUCGCGGUGGUCGGCGCAGUUCUCGUGUUGCGGUCGUGGACCAAACUCGAAAAACAAGAUGACUCCGUUCAUUAUCGUCGUGUCUGUUGCUAUCACCAUGAAGCUAUUAUUCCUGAGCUUCUCAUUGAUAUUCACUUUGAAAACCACUGGAAAGGAUGAUCAGGAUUCCAAGUCGAAAGAGAUGAAACAAGAUAUUAUGCUGUUGAAAUGGAAGCAAAUUACCAGAUCUCUCAUGCCCAAAGUUUCGAGUUUUCCGAAAACGAUCUAACGAUGUAUGUAUGGUUCGUUAAGAACUGAAGUGUCUUAGAAUUCGUCCAUUCGUCCAAAAUAAGUUCCUAAAGAAUAUGAAAAUGUUAUGCAAGAUGAUGCCAUGCCAACCCAAAUACAGUCAUAAAAGUACUUAUUGCACAUUCACAUCAUACUUCGAAGAAAAAAUUAUUUAAAUAAUUAUUUACGAUGAGGUAGAGUCGCCAACAGAUCUCAGAUCAGAGUCAUAAUACCUUGUAAUGAGACAGAAAACUGGUACACUGGGUCUAUUUUCCACUGUAGAUAUUUAUAUUUUAGUUAAGUAUACAUAAUAUAAGUAC